rnacentral:pre_miRNA from 1 species
GGAUAUUUCUUUAGGACUAUGGUUUGGACGAGUCACUACUCAGCAGAGAACAUGCUAAUUGAUUUGUGUGCACCGCAAAAGGGGAAUAAGAUUUUCUACCUAUGGCGAGGUAUAUGUCUGUUGAUUUUGGUUAUGUUCUCAUAACUUUUAUUGUUUUCAGCUUUUAGUCCAAAAUCGUGCAGAGCUUGAUAACACAGAAGAGUUCAGUUGCCACUUGUCCAAUCCAUAGUUUUAAAGGAAUGAACCC